UGGCUUAGCCGGUUAUGAGUGGUACAGAGGUGUGGAAGGGCGUGGCUUAGCAGGGUAUGAGUGGUACAGAGGCGUGGAAGGGCGUGGCUUAGCCGGGUAUGAGUGGUACAGAGGUGUGGAAGGGCGUGGCUUAGCGGGGUAUCAGUGGUACAGAGGUGUGGAAGGGCGUGGCUUACCGGGGAUGAGAGAGAUCGCUGGGGAGUUGUCCCAUUUCCUAGGUAUGAGAAGCUGCCCUUGGACUACCGGGCACCCUUCUUGCUGACAUUGGAGCCACCAGGUCCACUGCCCUUGGUGUCAGGCCGCUCAGCCUCUUCUAGCCUGGCGUCACUGUCCCGCUACCUCUACCAUCAGCGCUGGCUUUGGAGUGUCCCGUCAGGACUGGCCCCUGCGCUGCCUCUCAGUGCCAUUGCCCAGCUCCUCUCCAUCCUCACUGAAGUCCGACUUUCUGAAGGAUUCCACUUCGCCUGCAGUGGGGAAGGAAUCAUCAACAUGGUUCUGGAGCUUCCAAUUCAGAAUGAACCACCAGGGCAGGAUGCAGCUGAAGAGAAGCACACCUGUGUUGUCCAGUACAUCCUCUUCCCCCCACACUCUACCUCCACCAAAG
rnacentral:lncRNA from 1 species